GCUGGCGGCGUGCCUAACACAUGCAAGUCGAACGAGAAAGUGGAGCAAUCCAUGAGUAAAGUGGCGACCGGGUGAGUAACACGUGACUAACCUACCCUAGAGUGGGGAAUAACCUCGGGAAACCGGGGCUAAUACCGCAUAACAUCACGAGGUGUAAAUUCCUAGUGAUCAAAGGAGAAAUUCGCUCAAGGAGGGGGUCGCGGCUGAUUAGCUAGUUGGUGAGGUAACGGCCCACCAAGGCUGAGAUCAGUAGCCGGCCUGAGAGGGCGCACGGCCACACUGGAACUGAAACACGGUCCAGACUCCUACGGGAGGCAGCAGUGGGGAAUUUUGCGCAAUGGGGGAAACCCUGACGCAGCAACGCCGCGUGGAGGAUGAAGUCCCUUGGGAUGUAAACUCCUUUCGAUCGGGACGAUUAUGACGGUACCGGAAGAAGAAGCACCGGCUAACUCUGUGCCAGCAGCCGCGGUAAUACAGAGGGUGCAAGCGUUGUUCGGAAUUAUUGGGCGUAAAGGGCGCGUAGGCGGUGCGGUAAGUCAGUUGUGAAUUCUCUGGGCUUAACUC
rnacentral:rRNA from 1 species